GAUGAACGCUGGCGGCGUGCCUAACACAUGCAAGUCGAGCGAUUCUCUUCGGAGAAGAGCGGCGGACGGGUGAGUAACGCGUGGGUAACCUGCCCUGUACACACGGAUAACAUACCGAAAGGUAUGCUAAUACGAGAUAAUAUACUUUUAUCGCAUGGUAGAAGUAUCAAAGCUUUUGCGGUACAGGAUGGACCCGCGUCUGAUUAGCUAUUUGGUAAGGUAACGGCUUACCAAGGCGACGAGCAGUAGCCGACCUGAGAGGGUGAUCGGCCACAUUGGAACUGAGACACGGUCCAAACUCCUACGGGAGGCAGCAGUGGGGAAUAUUGCACAAUGGGCGAAAGCCUGAUGCAGCAACGCCGCGUGAGCGAUGAAGGCCUUCGGGUCGUAAAGCUCUGUCCUCAAGGAAGAUAAUGACGGUACUUGAGGAGGAAGCCCCGGCUAACUACGUGCCAGCCGCCGCCGUAA
rnacentral:rRNA from 1 species